rnacentral:lncRNA from 1 species
AUGUUGUCAUUUGUGCAAGACAGCCAUCUUGGAGUGCCAGAAGACGACAUCUGGAAAAGCAGCGGAAUGGCCAGUCCAGCAAAAGUGCAAAAAGACGGCGAUGACGCGGUGGAAGGGUUCAUCCAUGACGUGUCACCGAGAAAGCAAUCUAGAAACAGCUCUUCGUUUUUCACAGCCGUUCUACAAAGCGCUCGACAUGAAUACCAUAGAGUGGUCGUUUUUGCGAUGGACAAGCAAUCCGUUUUCAGUCAGGCUGAAAAGAACGGCAACGCAGUUAAACUGCUGAACGUCAGGCGCAGCUUAAGCUUCUCUGAUCCGGACGGAUACGACGUUUUAUGCUCCCGUGCGACCAAAGUGGAGGUUACCAGGCUGCCGUUUCUGCGUCACUCGCCGCCAGGCUGCAAAAGGAUGAGUGUAGCGGAGGUGAAGGCUCUUGGCCCAAAGCAGAAGGUAGGAGAGGUCCGUGGGAAGGUUCGAGUACACAGUUCCUUAAGCAGAAUGGUGACGGUCCGAGGCUCGGACGUUGAGCUCAAAGAAGUAGUAAUCUGCGAUGGGACGGGCGAGAUCAGCGUGACGUUGUGGGACAGCUACGUUAACCAGGCUGAGGGCGGCAAGUCGUAUGCAUUUAAGAACUUGUGUACGAGAGAAAGAGAUGGGAGCAUCCGUCUGUGUACCGGCCCGGGAAGCACCAUCGAGCAGAUCGCAGAUUUGGAAGUUCCACACGGGGAAGGCGGCGAGGAGGAGGACGGAUCAAAGGCGCUUUUCAGCGCCACUUUAAAGGGCAUCGACGUCGUGAUUCAGCGAAAGUGUUCCAGCUGUCAGUUUAACCAGACAGAGUUCGUAGAGAAGUCCCUGACACACAGGUGUGAGAGAUGCAACCAGUAG